rfam:Echinostoma caproni strain Egypt genome assembly, scaffold: ECPE_scaffold0007653
GGCCUUGUAGCUCAGCUGGUAGAGCGUGUGCGUACAAAGCAUAGGCAGCGUCCAUCCGUGGGUUUGAAUUCCGCCGAGGCUA